rnacentral:rRNA from 1 species
GAUGAACGCUGGCGGCGUGCCUAACACAUGCAAGUCGAACGAUCGGACGAAAAGCUUGUUUCUUUGAUGUUAGCGGCGGGCGGGUGUGUAACGCGUGGAUCACCCACCUAUAUUUCUGGGAUCACUUCGGAAAACCGGAUCUAAUACCAGAUAAUAUUGUCUACCGCUUGGUUCAAGAGUGAAAGGCGGUUUUGGUGUCAGUUAUAGACGGAUCCGCGCUGCAUUAGCUAGUUGGUAAGGUAACGGCUUACCAAGGCAACGAGGCGUAGCCGACCUGAGAGGGUGAGAGGCCACACUGGAACUGAGACACGGUCCAGACUCCUACGGGAGGCAGCAGUGGGGAAGCUUGGACAAUGGGCGAAAGCCUGACAGAGCAAUGCCGCGUGGGUGAUGAAGGUCUUCGGGUCGUAAAGCUCUGUUAUUAGGGAAGAAAAGAUGUAGAAGUAACUGUGGAUGUCGUGACGGUACCUAAUCAAGAAGCCACGGCUAACUACGUG